ACAAGAUUCGGAUCGUCGGUCUACCGAGCAAUUUUGCCCGCUCGAUGGAAGAUCUCUAGGUUGU
rnacentral:pre_miRNA from 1 species